rnacentral:rRNA from 1 species
GUGCACCAGUCGAGAAUCCUCCGCAAUGCGGGAAACCGUGACGGGGUCACCCCGAGUGCCACCCGAUGAGGGUGGCUUUUCCCCGGUCUAAAAAGCCGGGGGCAAUAAGCGGGGGCAAGUCUGGUGUCAGCCGCCGCGGUAAUACCAGCCCCGCGAGUGGUCGGGACGUUUAUUGGGCCUAAAGCGUCCGUAGCCGGCUCGGUAAGUCCCUCCUUAAAUCCACGGGCUCAACCCGUGGGCUGGGAGGGAUACUGCCGGGCUAGGGGGCGGGAGAGGCCGAGGGUACUCCCGGGGUAGGGGCGAAAUCCGUUAAUCCCGGGAGGACCACCAGUGGCGAAGGCGCUCGGCUGGAACGCGCCCGACGGUGAGGGACGAAAGCUAGGGGAGCAAAAGGGGAUUAGAUACCCGUGUAGU